CUUUGUUGUCUUUCUUGGACGUUUCCUCCCAAAACUUGAGCCGCUGGGGCAACCCAGCGGCUUCUCUUUUGCCUUUG
rnacentral:sRNA from 1 species